GGCAAUCCGGAUGACAGGCGAUCCACGGGGGGUUAUGCUGUCUUCUUUGGCUCUAACCUGAUUGCCUGGAGUGCUCGGAAACAGGCUACUGUCUCGCGUAGCAGUACUGAGGCUGAGUAUAAGGCUGUGGCCAAUGCCACAUUAGAGAUUAUCUGGGUACAGUCCUUGCUUCAGGAGUUAAGUAUACCCCAAUCACAGCCUCUUGUUCUUUGGUGUGAUAACAUCGGUGCUACAUACCUUUCUGCAAAUCCGGUAUUCCAUGCCCGAACGAAACACAUUGAAGUUGACUAUCACUUUGUGCGUGAACGUGUCUCUCAGAAGCAACUACAGAUCAAGUUUAUUUCUUCCAAGGAUCAACUUGCUGACAUCUUCACCAAGCCAUUGCCUUUGCCACAGUUUGAGACUUGCAGGCGCAAUCUUACCCUUCUAGAUUCAUUAGAAAGUGGCUAA
rnacentral:rRNA from 1 species